GCCCCCGUAGCUCAGAUGGAUAGAGCGAUGGAUUCCUAAUCCAUAGGUCGUGCGUUCGAGUCGCGCCGGGGGCA
rnacentral:tRNA from 1 species